rnacentral:rRNA from 1 species
AGAGUUUGAUCAUGGCUCAGGAUGAACGCUAGCUACAGGCUUAACACAUGCAAGUCGAGGGGAAACGACAUCGAAAGCUUGCUUUUGAUGGGCGUCGACCGGCGCACGGGUGAGUAACGCGUAUCCAACCUGCCCACCACUUGGGGAUAACCUUGCGAAAGUAAGACUAAUACCCAAUGACGUCUCUAGAAGACAUCUGAAAGAGAUUAAAGAUUUAUCGGUGAUGGAUGGGGAUGCGUCUGAUUAGCUUGUUGGCGGGGUAACGGCCCACAAGGCGACGAUCAGUAGGGGUUCUGGGAGAAGGUCCCCCANAUUGGAACUGAGACACGGUCCAAACUCCGUACGGGAGCA